GGAUACACGAGCGGCGGACGGCUGAGUAACGCGUGGGAACAUGCUCCAAAGUGAGGAAUAAGCUCCAGAAAUGGAGUCUAAUGCCGCAUAUGAUCUUCGGAUUAAAGGAUUUAUCCGCUUUGGGAGUGGCCUGCGUAUGAUUAGAUAGUUGGUAAGGUAAUGGCUUACCAAGUCUACGAUCAUUAACUGGUCUGAGAGGAUGAUCAGUCAGACUGGAACUGAGACACGGUCCAGACUCCUACGGGAGGCAGCAGUGAGGAAUCUUCCACAAUGGGCGAAAGCCUGAUGGAGCGACGCCGCGUGCAGGAUGAAGGCCUUCGGGUUGUAAACUGCUUUUAUAAGUGAAGAAUAUGACGGUAACUUAUGAAUAAGCACCGGCUAACUACGUGCCAGCAGCCGCGGUCAUACGUAGGGUGCAAGCAUUAUCCGGAGUGACUGGGCGUAAAGAGUUGCGUAGGUGGUUUGUUAAGUGAAUAGUGAAAUCUGGGGGCUCAACCUCACAGACUAUUAUUCAAACUGGCAAACUCGAGAAUGGUAGAGGUAACUGGUAUUUCUAGUGUAGGAGUGAAAUCCGUAGAUAUUAGAAGGAACACCAAUGGCGUAGGCAGGUUACUGGACCAUUUCUGACACUGAGGCACGAAAGCGUGGGGAGCGAACCGGAUUAGAUACCCGGGUAGUCCACGCCGUAAACGAUGGAUACUAGCUGUUGGGGGUAUCGACCCCCCCAGUAGCGAA
rnacentral:rRNA from 1 species